CGGCAACGGAUAUCUCGGCUCUCGCAUCGAUGAAGAACGUAGCGAAAUGCGAUACUUGGUGUGAAUUGCAGAAUCCCGUGAACCAUCGAGUCUUUGAACGCAAGUUGCGCCCGAAGCCUUCGGGCCGAGGGCACGCCUGCCUGGGCGUCACGC
rnacentral:rRNA from 1 species